UACAGAGGGUGCAAGCGUUGUUCGGAAUUAUUGGGCGUAAAGAGCUCGUAGGCGGUCUGUUGCGUCCGCUGUGAAAACUCGGGGCUUAACCCCGAGCCUGCAGUGGAUACGGGCAGACUAGAGGUAGGUAGGGGAGAAUGGAAUUCCCGGUGUAGCGGUGAAAUGCGCAGAUAUCGGGAGGAACACCGGUGGCGAAGGCAGCCUUCUGGGCCAACACUGACGCUCAUGCACGAAAGCGUGGGGAGCAAACAGG
rnacentral:rRNA from 1 species